GUCCCAGUUCGGAUCGUAGUCUGCAACUCGACUACAUGAAGCCGGAAUCGCUAGUAAUCGCGAAUCAGAAUGCCGCGGUGAAUACGUUCCCGGGUCUUGUACACACCGCCCGUCACACCAUGGGAGUCGGGAAUGCCCGAAGUCAGUGACCCAACCUAUAGGAGGGAGCUGCCGAAGGCAGGUCUGAUAACUGGGGUGAAGUCGUAACAAGGUAAC
rnacentral:rRNA from 1 species